AAGCAAGCAGUGGAUGAGGCUGUGGUCAACAUGAUCAUCAAAGACUGUCAGCCACUCACCAUUGUUGAAAAUGAGGGAUUCAGGGAGCUCCUGAAGCUUAUUGCACCCUCAUAUGUUCUACCAAGCAGGAAGGCCAUCAAGGACUUGGUGAGCCAGAAAUAUGAGGAGGAAAAGGAGAAAACAAAAAUGGACCUCCAGAGCGUCGUUGCUAUUAGUUUAACAGCUGAUAUGUGGACGUCCAUUAAUAUGGAGGCAUAUCUUGCUGUUACUUGCCACUAUGUGGACAAAGAAAGCCAUGAACUCUGUUCAUCAGUCUUGGGAGUGCAGCAUUUUCCUAAGAGACACACUGCAGAAAACAUGGCCACGGUUAAAAGGAACCUCAUGGAGGAGUGGGGCAUAGCGGGCAAGGUCAGGUGUCUUGUCACUGAUGCAGCAGCAAACAUGAUUUCAUGUGCUAAAAUGCUGCAAAUAUGACACACCAUUUGUACUGCCCAUUCCAUGAAUUUAAUUUUAAAAAAAUCAUGUGAUCAAAUAACAACACUAACAGAAAUACGCAAAAAAGCACGGCAAAUUGUGACAUACUUUCGAUCAAGCACCACAGCCAAAGAAAAGCUCACUCAAAUGCAGCAACAGCUGGGAACACCAUUCCAUAAAUUAAUAAAUGAGGUGCCGACACGAUGGAACAGCACCUACCACAUGCUGGAAAGAAUGACUGAGCAGAAGGAGGCAGUCUGGGUGUCAUUGGCUGCAUUAAAAACUGAUAUCACUCCACUGACUCCUGAAGAACUUGACAUCAUUGAAGAAAUGCUCGCUCCUUUUAACCAAGCCACAAUAGAACUCUCUGAGGAAAAAAGAGUCUCAGGGUCAAAGGUUAUUCCACUGAUGAGAAUGAUCCAUGUUGAACUUCAACGUCAAGCCUCAACAGUGACAAAAACAGCUGCUCAACAGCUGGCUGAAAAUCUGAGAAAGUAGCUAACUGAGGCUAUCUGCAACCUGGAAUCGCUCAGUGUGAUGACACUGGCAACACUGUUGGACCCCAGGUUUAAAACAGUUGGCUUCUUUAGUCCACUAAAAGCAACUGAAGCUGUCAAGAGACUGAAGUCGGAGUGUGCUGCUGAAAUGAGGAGCCAUGAGCCUGACCCAGCAGGAGAAGAGCCUAGCUCUUCACAUGGAUCAAAACCCAGUUCAGGGCACAAUCUCUGGAAACCUCUGGAUAUGGAGGUUGAGGAGAACAACUCGACCUCGAAUACUACAGCUGAUUCCAUAGUUGAAGUCCAACGCUACCUGGCUGAAACCAACACACCCAGAGCAAAAGAUCCGUUACAAUAUUGGAAAAAUAACCAGAAAACAUAUCCACACCUGUAUCAACUCGCACUUAAAUUUUUAUGCACACCAUCCUCAUCUGUACCCUGUGAGAGAGUUUUUUCUAAGGCAGGAGAACUGGUGUCCAAGAAGAGAAAUCAUCUUGCAGCAAAGACACUACAAAAACUUUUGUUCCUCAAUAAAAGUGUAUGAAUG